ACGGCAGAGGGAAGCAGGACGAAGAAGAAAUCCAUCCACGACAAGAUCAAAGCUCCGACCUUCUUCCGCUCUCGUCGAACCGCCGCGAACCGGCCGCCGGCAUCGAAUCCGAUCGGCGAAAGCGAGGAGGAGCGAUGGAGAGCGCGUCGGAGAUGGUGCCGUUCCCGCUGCUGCAGACGCCGAUCGAUUCCAACUACAGGGCCUGCACCUUCCCCUACCGGUUCCCCUCCGACAACCCGAAGCGCCCCACCCCGACCGCGCUCGCCUGGAUCGACCUCUUCCGCAACUCCAUUCCCUCCUUCAAGAAACGGGCGGAGAGCGAUCCUACGGUCCUUGAUGCCCCUGUCAGAGCUGAAAAAUUCGCUGAGAGCUUCUGUGCAGACUAAGAGAGCAGAUUCUUUGAGAGUUGGGUUUUCAAGACAUAUUCAAAAAAGUUGAGGAUGAAGAGAAUGCGGAAGCCAUAUCCCUUUUCAGUGAUGUAGUUAAUCUUAAUGAUGCAAUUGAAGACGAAGGCAAGCGUUUGGAAAAUCUAGUUAGAGGAAUAUUUGCAGGAACCAUCUUUGAUCUUGGAUCUGCACAGGCUAUCAUAUUUGCUGAUAACCCCAGUGCAGAUAUCAUUUUGGGUAUUUUGCCGUUCGCCAGAGAAUUAUUUCAUCGUGGGACUUAGGUUGUGCUUGCUGUUAAUGAUUUGCCAUCUCUUAACGAUGUCACCUACCCUGAACUAAUUGAGAAUAUAUCCAAGGUAUGAAUAGCAAGAUUUUUAGAUGUGAUGUGAAUACACCAUGUUGGUCCAGACAUUGUUCCAGUAACCAGCUGAAGGAUGAGAAUGGGAAGUUAAUGGGUGUUGAUGCUUCAAAUCUCUUGAUCGCUAAUUCUGGGAAUGAUUUGCCUGUUAUUGAUCUCGCACAAGUAUCCCAAGAGCUAGCCUUUCUGGCGGCUGAUGCAGAUCUAGUUAUUGUGGAAGGAAUGGAGUUCGGGCCAACUAAUGCCGAGUUCACAAAGGAAUUUCCUUAAUCGAUUAUGUUAUUCCACAACAAUGGAUAAGUUGGACAUGAACGAGCACAGAGAACAUGGACGACAUGGUUUAGAAGGGGUCGGACUCAUCGGGCGAUACAAUGAUGUCUUCCAAGGGCACGACCUGGCCGACUUCGGACUUGCUGCCCUUGUCGCGAAUGGCGAGGGAUUCGAAGUCGUAGACCCCGUCUCCGCUGCCGUCUUUGCUCCUGGAGCUCUCGGAAUCGGAGUAGAGCUCGUGCGUUGCUUGAUCCAGCGUCCCUUCUCUGUACACAUAAACGAACUCGCCCUCCUCCAGAGCACGCCACUUGCUAUGGAGAUCAACUCGGUUCAUGGGCAUACCCCUAUGUAUCAAGAAAUAGAAAUAAAAUAAAUUAUAAUAAAGAGAAAAAUAAUCAAUUCUACAAUUGUUGCUUCUCCUACCAAUUCGAAUGCGCUAUUUACUCAUCGAGAAAGUUGUAAAUAAGGACCUGAGAUUUAGAGUGGGCUCUGUAAUAAGCGUUCAUGAUCGGUAAUUAAUUAAUGAAUCGGAUUGGAUGGUCAUUG